rnacentral:rRNA from 1 species
AUACAGAGGGUGCGAGCGUUAAUCGGAAUUACUGGGCGUAAAGCGCGCGUAGGCGGUCUAUUAAGUCAGAUGUGAAAUCCCAGGGCUCAACCUUGGAACUGCAUCUGAUACUGGUAGACUAGAGUUUUGGAGAGGGAAGUAGAAUUUCAGGUGUAGCGGUGAAAUGCAUAGAGAUCUGAAGGAAUACCAGUGGCGAAGGCGACUUCCUGGCCAAAAACUGACGCUGAGGUGCGAAAGCAUGGGUAGCAAACGGGAUUAGAAACCCCAGUAGUCC